UUUCUUCGGAGAGUUUGAUCCUGGCUCAGGAUGAACGCUGGCGGCGUGCCUAAUACAUGCAAGUCGAGCG
rnacentral:rRNA from 2 species